AUACGUAGGGAGCGAGCGUUGUCCGGAAUUACUGGGCGUAAAGGGUGCGUAGGCGGGACUGCAAGUCAGAUGUGACAUGCCGGGGCUCAACCCCGGAACUGCAUUUGUAACUGUGGUUCUUGAGUGAGGUAGAGGUAAGCGGAAUUCCUAGUGUAGCGGUGAAAUGCGUAGAUAUUAGGAGGAACACCAGUGGCGAAGGCGGCUUACUGGACGGCAACUGACGUUGAGGCUCGAAAGCGUGGGGAGCAAACAGGAUUAGAUACCCUGGUAGUCCACGCCGUAAACGAUGACUACUAGGUGUCGGGUAGCAAAGCUAUUCGGUGCCGCAGCUAACGCAAUAAGUAGUCCACCUGGGGAGUACGUUCGCAAGAAUGAAACUCAAAGGAAUUGACGGGG
rnacentral:rRNA from 1 species